rnacentral:tRNA from 1 species
UCCCUGGUGGUCCAGUGGUUAGGACUCCUCACUCUCACUGCCGAGAGUUCGGGUUCCAUCCCUGAUCAGGGAA